rnacentral:tRNA from 1 species
GGGCGCAUAGCUCAGCUGGUUCAGAGCAUCUGCCUUACAAGCAGAGGGUCGGAGGUUCGAAUCCUUCUGCGCCCA